GAAAGCCUGUUGAAACUCACAACAUCUUCUGAAUGCAACUCAGACACUUUAAUUAAGCUAAGACUUC
rnacentral:tRNA from 1 species